GCGGGACCAAGACCCACAGCGCCCUCUCCAAACCCCGCACCUCCACGCUCACGCGGGGCUCCCGUCCUCACGUGUGUCCCGUGCCAGGAGAGGCCUUGGAUGCAGGGCAUGGCCCCGACUUUGGGGCGAAAUGUCUAUGUGGAGGAGCGCAAAACGCCUCCCCCACCUCGGGCUAGGAGCCGACUUUAGAAUCGUGUCCAGGACCCGGCAGGCCGGCGGGACAGGGCGGGCCUGUUCCAGGACUACCACUCCCAGAGGAAGCAGGAAAGUCUGCAGCAGAAAAUACAGCGACAAGUUCUAAGCUGAAUAACAGACGGAAAGUUUGACAGCAGAAAGUAAACUAAAGACCAGUCACUGAAAAACACAGAUACGGUGCUGUGUGGGAACACCGGGGCGAACUGGACGCCCAGCCCUCGGUCUCCUGACGAUCUCGUCUGGACAGUGGGAGGCACCAUAUUGACCCUUGCCUCCUGGAAGAGGCGCAUUAUGAAUCCGCACAGCCCCCACCCCCCCCUUCCGGAAAAGUUUUGAUGUUAAGAUGAGAAACUGAGGCAGAGAGAAGCAAGGCGCCACCGCUCGGUCACAUUUUGCAGUUAAACCCAACUUGGAAAACGCCAAGGGACGGCUCCGUGAUAGGUCCAAGCUCCGGACCUCCUUCCACCCCCUUCCCGCGCGCUGGCCAGAGGACCGGAGCGGCCUUCGGGGGGCGGGGCGGAGGGCCGGCCGAUGGCCCCGCCCCCUGACCCGGUCCCGCCCCCUCUUCUGGGUCCUAGUCCAGCCCAAUCUUCUCUCCCUCACACCUGGGGUAGCGAAGAGCUCCUGGGAGAACGCGGACCAGGCCAUGCCCAUCGCCAUAGAAGCGGGACACCCCAGGACCCCAACCCAGGGUCCAAGAGGUUCUGGGGCCAGGGGGCGCGCCCCGGGGUUAAGGCGGUGCCCCAGGCGGCACGUAGGCGGCACUUGUCCUUCUGCAGCGGCUCCGCUCGGGAUUUUCUUCCCAUUUGAGAGGCGGGAACAUCGAGGCGCAGAGAGGGCCAAGGGCCUGCCACAUGUCACCCUUCAGUCUCGGUCAGAACUGACAGCGAGAAUGGGAAGGAGGAAGAGGGGCGGGGGCGGCACAACGACCCCCACCGGGGGCCUCUCUGUCCCCUAAGUCCCCGCACCUGUGAAACAGAGGCGCGUUCACGCGGGCCUGUGUCCGAAGUAACAGUCCCGAGAGUCCUAAACUGAAGGGUCUGGGGCUCCUAGUUCCGAGGAAUGUUUCGGGGACGCCUUCGGGGAGGGUCCCCGGCGGGGCGCCCGGGCUGUGCGGGGCCCCGCCGCGCCCCCUCCCUCCCCUCGCGGCGGCCGCGCUCCUCCCCCGGCUCUGCCUCCCGCCC